rnacentral:sRNA from 1 species
CUCCCUGAUCGUGGCUACGCGCAGCUGCGCGAGCAC